rnacentral:rRNA from 1 species
UACGGAGGGUGCAAGCGUUGUUCGGAUUCAUUGGGCGUAAAGGGUGCGUAGGCGGCGCGGUAAGUCGGGUGUGAAAUCUCGGGGCUUAACUCCGAAACUGCAUUCGAUACUGCCGUGCUUUGAGGACUGGAGAGGAGACUGGAAUUUUACGGUGUAGCGGUGAAAAUGCGUAGAUAUCGUAAGGGAAGACCGUGGCGAAG